rnacentral:rRNA from 1 species
AUAUCAAUAAGCGGAGGAAAAGAAACUAACAAGGAUUCCCCUAGUAACUGCGAGUGAAGCGGGAAAAGCUCAAAUUUAAAAUCUGUCAGUCUUUGGCUGUCCGAGUUGUAAUCUAGAGAAGCGUUAUCCGCGCUGGACCGUGUACAAGUCUCCUGGAAUGGAGCGUCAUAGAGGGUGAGAAUCCCGUCUUUGACACGGACUGCCAGGGCUUUGUGAUGCGCUCUCAAAGAGUCGAGUUGUUUGGGAAUGCAGCUCAAAAUGGGUGGUAAAUUCCAUCUAAAGCUAAAUAUUGGCGAGAGACCGAUAGCGAACAAGUACCGUGAGGGAAAGAUGAAAAGAACUUUGGAAAGAGAGUUAAACAGUACGUGAAAUUGCUGAAAGGGAAACGCUUGAAGUCAGUCGCGUUGUCCAGGGAUCAACCUUGCUUUUGCUUGGUGUAUUUUCUGGUUGACGGGUCAGCAUCAAUUUUGACUGUUGGAAAAAGGUCAGGGGAAUGUGGCAUCUUUAGAUGUGUUAUAGCCCUUGGUUGCAUACAAUGGUUGGGAUUGAGGAACUCAGCAUGCCGCAAGGCCGAGUAACUUGUUUACUACGUACAUGCUUAGGAUGCUGGCAUAAUGGCUUUAAUCGA